UACAUGCAAGUCGAGCGGUAAGGCCCUUCGGGGUACACGAGCGGCGGACGGCUGAGUAGCGCGUAGGAACAUGCCCCAAAGUGAGGGAUAAGCACCGGAAACGGUGUCUAAUACCGCAUAUGGUCUUCGGAUUAAAGGAUUUAUCCGCUUUGGGAGUGGCCUGCGUACGAUUAGAUAGUUGGUGAGGUAAUGGCUCACCAAGUCUACGAUCGUUAACUGGUCUGAGAGGAUGAUCAGUCAGACUGGAACUGAGAUACGGUCCAGACUCC
rnacentral:rRNA from 2 species